UCUCUCUCAAAGAAUGGAAACCCCCUCUUUCCAUCGACUCUCCUCCGAGGGUUGUUACCAACGUUCAACCUUUCCGCUGUGGUUCAAGCUUCAAGUUUCAAGCAACCAGAUUUUCAGAUUCCGGCGAGCUACAACCUUUUCAGGCGACUCAGUUCCAUCAUCCACUUGCAGGAAUCCCAAUUAAAGACAUAGCAAAGUUUUGAAGGAUGGGAUUAUGGGGCUGUGGGGUGCUAGUUUGGGUUGUGGCAAGCAGAGAGCUAUUUUGAAGUGUAGUUUAGGUGAGGCAAAUGCUAUUCGGAGGCUAGUUGUGGAUGGGGCGUGGGAUAAAAAGUCUUGGGAAGGUGCGGUUGCGUGGUGUUCGGUUGGUGACGGAGAAGAAGAAGUCCGGAAUGAAGGAUGAAGAGAUGUUUUUGCAAGCUCGGCUCUCAUGGCGGAGGCUCUCGCCGUUUGGUAUGCGCUAGCUUGGGCUUUUGACAGGAGAUGGUUGUCUGUGGAAAUUUGCUCGGACUGUUUGGUUUUGGUGCAAGGUUUUCAGAAGGAUAAUGGAAUCCAUGCUUUGGUUAGAGUUAUUUUUGUCUGAUAUUGUUCAUUUGGCUUGUAAUUUUAAUUAUGUUGUUGUUUCUAAGGUUUCAAGGACUGAGGUUAGAACAGCCCAUGCUCUAGCUAAAGAUGUAAAUUAUCAAGUUUAGUGUUAUUAAAGUUAUGUUUGUGGUUUGAUCAAAAAAAAAGAAAAAAGAAG